rnacentral:rRNA from 1 species
AGUGAACGCUGGCGGCGUGCUUAAUACAUGCAAGUCGAACGAUGAAGUCCUAGCUUUCUCGGAUGGAUUAGUGGCGCACGGGUGAGUAAUAUAUAGUUAAUCUGCCUUUCACUGAGGAACAACAGUUGGAAACGAUUGCUAAUACCUCAUACUCCAACUUUACAUAAGUUAAGUUGUGAAAGUCUUUUCGGUGCAAGAUGAGACUAUAUCGUAUCAGCUAGUUGGUAAGGUAAUGGCUUACCAAGGCUAUGACGCGUAACUGGUCUGAGAGGAUGAUCAGUCACAUUGGAACUGAGACACGGUCCAAACACCUACGGGAGGCAGCAGUAAGGAAUAUUGUGAAAUGGGGGAAACCCUGACGCAGCAACGCCGCGUGGAGGAUGACACUUUUCGGAGCGUAAACUCCUUUUGUUAGGGAAGAAUAAUGACGGUACCUAAUGAAUAAGCACCGGCUAACUCCGUG